GACGAACGCUGGCGGCGUGCUUAACACAUGCAAGUCGAACGGUAAGGCCCUUCGGGGUACACGAGUGGCGAACGGGUGAGUAACACGUGGGUGAUCUGCCCUGCACUUCGGGAUAAGCUUGGGAAACUGGGUCUAAUACCGGGUAGGACCACGGUCUGCAUGGAUUGUGGUGGAAAGCUUUUGCGGUGUGGGAUGGGCCCGCGGCCUAUCAGCUUGUUGGUGGGGUGAUGGCCUACCAAGGCGACGACGGGGUAGCCGGCCUGAGAGGGUGUCCGGCCACACUGGGACUGAGAUACGGCCCAGACUCCUACGGGAGGCAGCAGUGGGGAAUAUUGCACAAUGGGCGCAAGCCUGAUGCAGCGACGCCGCGUGGGGGGAUGACGGCCUCGGGUUGGUAAACCUACUUUCACGUAGGGACGAAGCGUAAGUGACGGUACCGUAUAGAAGAAGCACCGGCCAACUAACGUGCC
rnacentral:rRNA from 1 species